rnacentral:miRNA from 1 species
UACCCGUAAUUUCUCGGACAGU